UAUGUUUGGUAAAAUCAACAUUAUGCACCAGAUACCACUUUGAAAAGCACAGUUGAUCAUUGCAGCUACAGAAGAUGGAAAGAAAAAAAAUCAUAGUAAUUCGGUUUAAGUUACAAAUAAAAUUCAAAUUUAUUUACCUUCAUCUCAUAGAAAAAUAAAUGAAAAAUAUAUCCAAUUUAGAUAAGAAACUAAUUUUUCCAGGCUUAAAAAAUAAAUUACGAUUUCAUAAUGAUUACUUUAGGUUUGCUCAGGCAACAACACAAGAAGAUAAACGAGGAAAAAGAGCAUACACGAAGGCAUUUCAGUCUCCAAGCUUACUGCUGGUGCUGGUAAAAUUCCCAUUCUCAUAAAUGCAUAUAAAUAGGAGUCGAGGUUAAGAAAUUACAUGUGAUAAAUGGAUAUCUCUCCAUCACGUCUUCAUUGUUCAUAAAAUAAUACAUUCAAUUGGGAAUUU